GGGUUGUGAGGUUAAGCGACUAAGCGUACACGGUGGAUGCCCUGGCAGUCAGAGGCGAUGAAGGGCGUGCUAAUCUGCGAUAAGCGCCGGUAAGGUGAUAUGAACCGUUAUAACCGGCGAUACCCGAAUGGGGAAACCCAGUGUGAUUCGUCACACUAUCAUUAACUGAAUCCAUAGGUUAAUGAGGCGAACCGGGGGAACUGAAACAUCUAAGUACCCCGAGGAAAAGAAAUCAACCGAGAUUCCCCCAGUAGCGGCGAGCGAACGGGGAGGAGCCCAGAGCCUGAAUCAGCAUGUGUGUUAGUGGAAGCGUCUGGAAAGGCGCGCGAUACAGGGUGACAGCCCCGUACACAAAAGCGCAUGUGCUGUGAGCUCGAUGAGUAGGGCGGGACACGUGGUAUCCUGUCUGAAUAUGGGGGGACCAUCCUCCAAGGCUAAAUACUCCUGACUGACCGAUAGUGAACCAGUACCGUGAGGGAAAGGCGAAAAGAACCCCGGCGAGGGGAGUGAAAAAGAACCUGAAACCGUGUACGUACAAGCAGUGGGAGCACCCUUUGGGGUGUGACUGCGUACCUUUUGUAUAAUGGGUCAGCGACUUAUAUUCUGUAGCAAGGUUAACCGUAUAGGGGAGCCGGAGGGAAACCGAGUCUUAAUUGGGCGUUAAGUUGCAGGGUAUAGACCCGAAACCCGGUGAUCUAGCCAUGGGCAGGUUGAAGGUUGGGUAACACUAACUGGAGGACCGAACCGACUAAUGUUGAAAAAUUAGCGGAUGACCUGUGGCUGGGGGUGAAAGGCCAAUCAAACCGGGAGAUAGCUGGUUCUCCCCGAAAGCUAUUUAGGUAGCGCCUCGUGAAUUCAUCUCCGGGGGUAGAGCACUGUUUCGGCUAGGGGGCCAUCCCGGCUUACCAACCCGAUGCAAACUGCGAAUACCGGAGAAUGUUAUCACGGGAGACACACGGCGGGUGCUAACGUCCGUCGUGAAGAGGGAAACAACCCAGACCGCCAGCUAAGGUCCCAAAGUCAUGGUUAAGUGGGAAACGAUGUGGGAAGGCCCAGACAGCCAGGAUGUUGGCUUAGAAGCAGCCAUCAUUUAAAGAAAGCGUAAUAGCUCACUGGUCGAGUCGGCCUGCGCGGAAGAUGUAACGGGGCUAAACCAUGCACCGAAGCUGCGGCAGCGACGCUUAUGCGUUGUUGGGUAGGGGAGCGUUCUGUAAGCCUGUGAAGGUGGCCUGUGAGGGUUGCUGGAGGUAUCAGAAGUGCGAAUGCUGACAUAAGUAACGAUAAAGCGGGUGAAAAGCCCGCUCGCCGGAAGACCAAGGGUUCCUGUCCAACGUUAAUCGGGGCAGGGUGAGUCGACCCCUAAGGCGAGGCCGAAAGGCGUAGUCGAUGGGAAACGGGUUAAUAUUCCCGUACUUGGUGUUACUGCGAAGGGGGGACGGAGAAGGCUAUGUUGGCCGGGCGACGGUUGUCCCGGUUUAAGCGUGUAGGCUGGUUUUCCAGGCAAAUCCGGAAAAUCAAGGCUGAGGCGUGACGACGAGGCACUACGGUGCUGAAGCAACAAAUGCCCUGCUUCCAGGAAAAGCCUCUAAGCAUCAGGUAACAUCAAAUCGUACCCCAAACCGACACAGGUGGUCAGGUAGAGAAUACCAAGGCGCUUGAGAGAACUCGGGUGAAGGAACUAGGCAAAAUGGUGCCGUAACUUCGGGAGAAGGCACGCUGACACGUAGGUGAAGUGAUUUACUCAUGGAGCUGAAGUCAGUCGAAGAUACCAGCUGGCUGCAACUGUUUAUUAAAAACACAGCACUGUGCAAACACGAAAGUGGACGUAUACGGUGUGACGCCUGCCCGGUGCCGGAAGGUUAAUUGAUGGGGUCAGCGCAAGCGAAGCUCCUGAUCGAAGCCCCGGUAAACGGCGGCCGUAACUAUAACGGUCCUAAGGUAGCGAAAUUCCUUGUCGGGUAAGUUCCGACCUGCACGAAUGGCGUAAUGAUGGCCAGGCUGUCUCCACCCGAGACUCAGUGAAAUUGAACUCGCUGUGAAGAUGCAGUGUACCCGCGGCAAGACGGAAAGACCCCGUGAACCUUUACUAUAGCUUGACACUGAACAUUGAGCCUUGAUGUGUAGGAUAGGUGGGAGGCUUUGAAGUGUGGACGCCAGUCUGCAUGGAGCCGACCUUGAAAUACCACCCUUUAAUGUUUGAUGUUCUAACGUGGACCCGUUACCCGGGUUGCGGACAGUGUCUGGUGGGUAGUUUGACUGGGGCGGUCUCCUCCUAAAGAGUAACGGAGGAGCACGAAGGUUGGCUAAUCCUGGUCGGACAUCAGGAGGUUAGUGCAAUGGCAUAAGCCAGCUUGACUGCGAGCGUGACGGCGCGAGCAGGUGCGAAAGCAGGUCAUAGUGAUCCGGUGGUUCUGAAUGGAAGGGCCAUCGCUCAACGGAUAAAAGGUACUCCGGGGAUAACAGGCUGAUACCGCCCAAGAGUUCAUAUCGACGGCGGUGUUUGGCACCUCGAUGUCGGCUCAUCACAUCCUGGGGCUGAAGUAGGUCCCAAGGGUAUGGCUGUUCGCCAUUUAAAGUGGUACGCGAGCUGGGUUUAGAACGUCGUGAGACAGUUCGGUCCCUAUCUGCCGUGGGCGCUGGAGAACUGAGGGGGGCUGCUCCUAGUACGAGAGGACCGGAGUGGACGCAUCACUGGUGUUCGGGUUGUCAUGCCAAUGGCACUGCCCGGUAGCUAAAUGCGGAAGAGAUAAGUGCUGAAAGCAUCUAAGCACGAAACUUGCCCCGAGAUGAGUUCUCCCUGAGACUUUAGGUCUCCUGAAGGAACGUUGAAGACGACGACGUUGAUAGGCCGGGUGUGUAAGCGCAGCGAUGCGUUGAGCUAACCGGUACUAAUGAACCGUGAGGCUUAACCUUACAACGCCGAAGCUGUU
rnacentral:rRNA from 1 species